rnacentral:rRNA from 1 species
GGGUUGUGAGGUUAAGCGACUAAGCGUACACGGUGGAUGCCCUGGCAGUCAGAGGCGAUGAAGGACGUGCUAAUCUGCGAAAAGCGUCGGUAAGGUGAUAUGAACCGUUAUAACCGGCGAUGUCCGAAUGGGGAAACCCAGUGCAAUUCGUUGCACUAUCGUUAACUGAAUACAUAGGUUAACGAGGCGAACCGGGGGAACUGAAACAUCUAAGUACCCCGAGGAAAAGAAAUCAACCGAGAUUCCCCCAGUAGCGGCGAGCGAACGGGGAGCAGCCCAGAGUCUGAAUCAGCUUGUGUGUUAGUGGAACGGUCUGGAAAGUCCGACGGUACAGGGUGAUAGUCCCGUACACCAAAAUGCACAGGUUGUGAACUCGAAGAGUAGGGCGGGACACGUGGUAUCCUGUCUGAAUAUGGGGGGACCAUCCUCCAAGGCUAAAUACUCCUGACUGACCGAUAGUGAACCAGUACCGUGAGGGAAAGGCGAAAAGAACCCCGGCGAGGGGAGUGAAAAAGAACCUGAAACCGUGUACGUACAAGCAGUGGGAGCACCUUCGGGUGUGACUGCGUACCUUUUGUAUAAUGGGUCAGCGACUUAUAUUCUGUAGCAAGGUUAACCGUAUAGGGGAGCCGCAGGGAAACCGAGUCUUAACUGGGCGUUAAGUUGCAGGGUAUAGACCCGAAACCCGGUGAUCUAGCCAUGGGCAGGUUGAAGGUUGGGUAACACUAACUGGAGGACCGAACCGACUAAUGUUGAAAAAUUAGCGGAUGACUUGUGGCUGGGGGUGAAAGGCCAAUCAAACCGGGAGAUAGCUGGUUCUCCCCGAAAGCUAUUUAGGUAGCGCCUCGUGAACUCAUCUUCGGGGGUAGAGCACUGUUUCGGCUAGGGGGUCAUCCCGACUUACCAACCCGAUGCAAACUACGAAUACCGAAGAAUGUUAUCACGGGAGACACACGGCGGGUGCUAACGUCCGUCGUGAAGAGGGAAACAACCCAGACCGCCAGCUAAGGUCCCAAAGUCAUGGUUAAGUGGGAAACGAUGUGGGAAGGCACAGACAGCCAGGAUGUUGGCUUAGAAGCAGCCAUCAUUUAAAGAAAGCGUAAUAGCUCACUGGUCGAGUCGGCCUGCGCGGAAGAUGUAACGGGGCUAAACCAUGCACCGAAGCUGCGGCAGCGACACUAUGUGUUGUUGGGUAGGGGAGCGUUCUGUAAGCCUGCGAAGGUGUGCUGUGAGGCAUGCUGGAGGUAUCAGAAGUGCGAAUGCUGACAUAAGUAACGAUAAAGCGGGUGAAAAGCCCGCUCGCCGGAAGACCAAGGGUUCCUGUCCAACGUUAAUCGGGGCAGGGUGAGUCGACCCCUAAGGCGAGGCCGAAAGGCGUAGUCGAUGGGAAACAGGUUAAUAUUCCUGUACUUGGUGUUACUGCGAAGGGGGGACGGAGAAGGCUAUGUUAGCCGGGCGACGGUUGUCCCGGUUUAAGCAUGUAGGCUGAUUGUCCAGGCAAAUCCGGAUAAUCAAGGCUGAGGUGUGAUGACGAGGCACUACGGUGCUGAAGUAACAAAUGCCCUGCUUCCAGGAAAAGCCUCUAAGCAUCAGGUAACAUCAAAUCGUACCCCAAACCGACACAGGUGGUCAGGUAGAGAAUACCAAGGCGCUUGAGAGAACUCGGGUGAAGGAACUAGGCAAAAUGGUGCCGUAACUUCGGGAGAAGGCACGCUGGUGUGUAGGUGAAGUCCCUGCGGAUGGAGCUGAGACCAGUCGAAGAUACCAGCUGGCUGCAACUGUUUAUUAAAAACACAGCACUGUGCAAACACGAAAGUGGACGUAUACGGUGUGACGCCUGCCCGGUGCCGGAAGGUUAAUUGAUGGGGUUAUCCGUAAGGAGAAGCUCUUGAUCGAAGCCCCGGUAAACGGCGGCCGUAACUAUAACGGUCCUAAGGUAGCGAAAUUCCUUGUCGGGUAAGUUCCGACCUGCACGAAUGGCGUAAUGAUGGCCAGGCUGUCUCCACCCGAGACUCAGUGAAAUUGAACUCGCUGUGAAGAUGCAGUGUACCCGCGGCAAGACGGAAAGACCCCGUGAACCUUUACUAUAGCUUGACACUGAACAUUGAGCCUUGAUGUGUAGGAUAGGUGGGAGGCUUUGAAGCGUGGACGCCAGUCUGCGUGGAGCCAACCUUGAAAUACCACCCUUUAAUGUUUGAUGUUCUAACGUUGGCCCCUGACCGGGGUUGCGGACAGUGUCUGGUGGGUAGUUUGACUGGGGCGGUCUCCUCCCAAAGCGUAACGGAGGAGCACGAAGGUUAGCUAAUCCUGGUCGGACAUCAGGAGGUUAGUGCAAUGGCAUAAGCUAGCUUGACUGCGAGCGUGACGGCGCGAGCAGGUGCGAAAGCAGGUCAUAGUGAUCCGGUGGUUCUGAAUGGAAGGGCCAUCGCUCAACGGAUAAAAGGUACUCCGGGGAUAACAGGCUGAUACCGCCCAAGAGUUCAUAUCGACGGCGGUGUUUGGCACCUCGAUGUCGGCUCAUCACAUCCUGGGGCUGAAGUAGGUCCCAAGGGUAUGGCUGUUCGCCAUUUAAAGUGGUACGCGAGCUGGGUUUAGAACGUCGUGAGACAGUUCGGUCCCUAUCUGCCGUGGGCGCUGGAGAAUUGAGGGGGGCUGCUCCUAGUACGAGAGGACCGGAGUGGACGCAUCACUGGUGUUCGGGUUGUCAUGCCAAUGGCACUGCCCGGUAGCUAAAUGCGGAAGAGAUAAGUGCUGAAAGCAUCUAAGCACGAAACUUGCCCCGAGAUGAGUUCUCCCUGAGACUCUGUCUCU